rnacentral:rRNA from 1 species
GUGGGGAAUAUUGCACAAUGGGCGCAAGCCUGAUGCAGCCAUGCCGCGUGUAUGAAGAAGGCCUUCGGGUUGUAAAGUACUUUCAGCGAGGAGGAAGGCGUUAAGGUUAAUAACCUUGGCGAUUGACGUUACUCGCAGAAGAAGCACCGGCUAACUCCGUGCCAGCAGCCGCGGUAAUACGGAGGGUGCAAGCGUUAAUCGGAAUUACUGGGCGUAAAGCGCACGCAGGCGGUUUGUUAAGUCAGAUGUGAAAUCCCCGGGCUCAACCUGGGAACUGCAUUUGAAACUGGCAAGCUAGAGUCUCGUAGAGGGGGGUAGAAUUCCAGGUGUAGCGGUGAAAUGCGUAGAGAUCUGGAGGAAUACCGGUGGCGAAGGCGGCCCCCUGGACGAAGACUGACGCUCAGGUGCGAAAGCGUGGGGAGCAAACAGGAUUAGAAACCCGUGUAGUCC